GGGAGAAGUGAUGAUUUCAAAUCCAUAGUUUUUCUCUGCAAGCCAGAUGAUGAAUCAACACGAAACAUGCACUACCAUCUGAUCUCCC